AAAAACCCGCCAACCGCCGUAAAAGCAGAAGAAGCAGAAGAAUUUACGUGUUUCUGCAGAAUGUCGUCUACGUCCAGCACAACUUAACCAGGAUUUGGAUGCAGUGUAAAGAGUGCAAGUUUUCCCACCCAAAUCAAGAUGUCCUCUUAAAGCACUACAGGCUUCGACAUUACCAGGGGCGAUUCUGGCCACUCCCGUGCCUGUAUACAGAGUGCAUCUGCACUUUCAAGACAACUGAAUAUAGACCCGGAGGAAUCUUAUGUGAAAGGAGUUGAACUGGGAAUACUCACAGUUGUUGAAGAUGACGUUGGGACGGUCCGCUCAAGUCCAACAACACUAAGCAUCGCCCUGAUUAUUGAGGAACGGAUUGUCCUGGAUGAUAUAUGCGACAUCCCAACUGCAUUUGCCCUUUUGUUUGGACUCAUCUAUGCUCUCAACCUGGAGUAUCCGAAGGACUUGAGGUACACUUUCGAAGUAAUUCAAAAGUUGUUCAUGAACCUUCGUACCCAGUGCUCUGCCCGGGUUCAGGCCUUAAAAAACAGUUUGCUCAAGUAGCCUGCCAUAUUUAAACCCUGCUUAUGGUCUUGGCUGGAUUUUGAGGGGGGUAAGAGUUCCAAAAGGUUUCUGAAGGCCAAUGUACAGAUUGCAGUUGUCUUGUUACAGACAAUACGUUUUUGAUGAUGUUGUUAGGUUGUAGUGGAUUUUAUAUAUAUUUGCACAUGUAGAUA